rnacentral:rRNA from 1 species
AUGGUCGGCGCCGGAACCAACACCACCAUGGGUCCCGGGAAGCCGCGGGUGGUGCUCUACCCGUCGCCGGGCAUGGGGCAUCUGGUCUCCAUGAUCGAGCUCGGCAAGCUCUUCGCCGCUCGUGGGCUGGCCGUCGCAGUCGCCCUCAUCGAUUCCCCGCACGACACCAGCGCCACGGGUCCCUUCCUCGCCGGCGUCUCCGCGGCCAACCCCUCCAUCUCUUUCCACCGUCUGCCACAGGUCGAGCUCCUCGGGUCUGAGCCGCCGGAGAUGCUGACCUUCGAGGUCGUCCGCCUCUCCAACCCGCACCUCCGUGACUUCCUCGCCGGCGACUCCCCGGCAGUCAUCGUGCUGGACUUCUUCUGCAGCGUCGCUAUCGACGUGGCCACGGAGCUCGGCAUCCCCGCCUACUUCUUCUGCACCUCUGGAGCCCAGAUCCUGGCUUUCUUCUUGCACCUCGCGGUUCUGCACGGCAAAAGCACGAGGAGCUUUGGGGAGAUGGGCCAAGAACUCGUGCACGCUCCGGGAAUCACCUCGUUCCCGGCGACGCACGCCAUUCAGCGGCUUAUGGAUCGUGACAGCGCGCCCUACAAGGCAUUUCUAAACAUGAGCACCAACCUGUUUCGGUCCCAAGGCAUCAUCGUCAACACCUUCCGCUCGUUGGAGCCGCGUGCCAUGGACACCAUCCUGGCCGGACUCUGCGCACCAUCCGGCCUCCGGACGCCCCGGGUCUACUGUAUUGGGCCACUGAUCAAGUCGGAGGAGGUGGGCGUGAAGCGCGGUGACGAGUGCCUCGCGUGGCUGGACACGCAACCUAAGGGCAGCGUGGCCUUCCUCUCCUUCGGCAGCCUUGGCCGGUUCAGCGCCAAACAAACAAGGAAGGUGGCCGCCGGGUUGGAAGCCAGUGGACAGAGGUUCCUGUGGGUGAUGCGGAGCCCGCCAAGCGCCGACUCGUCGAAGAACUCCGAGAAGCCGCCAGAGCCGGACUUGGAUGCCCUCCUCCCACAGGGAUUCCUUGAGCGGACCCAGGGCAGGGGCCUCGUCGUAAAGUCAUGGGCGCCACAACGCGACGUGUUGGCCCAUGAUGCGGUGGGCUGUUUUGUGACACACUGUGGAUGGAACUCGGUGCUCGAGUCGGUCAUGGCAGGCGUGCCGAUGUUGGCAUGGCCAUUGUACGCAGAGCAACUGAUGAACGCGGUGUUCCUGGAGAAAGAGAUGGAGCUGGCCGUCGCGAUGGAAGGGUACGACAAGGAGGUGGUGGAGGCCGAGGAGGUUGCUAAGAAGGUCAGGUGGAUGAUGAACUCAGACGGUGGGAGGGUGCUCCGAGAGCGGACUUUGGCGGCGCUGAGACAGGCGGAAGAGGCUCUACUCGAGGGCGGGGAAUCAGAGGUGACAUUGGCAAGGCUGGUGGACGCGUGGAUUCGUGCUUGA